AGCGCGACUACGCGGGAAGAGAUCGGUCCCAUACGGGGAGAGACCGGUUCCCGAACGUUGGAUUUUCGGGGCAGGCUGAGAGACCGGUCCCAGGUCGGGGAGACCGGUCCCUCAGUCCGAAAACUGCCCAGACCCGGGCAGUGCACAGGUUGGAUUUUUGAGGGGCUUAAGUGGAUUUUGUUACUUCAAAGGGCCUUAAGGCCAUUUCCUCUCCCUCUCACCCUCAUUUCUCUCCCUCACAUUCUCUCUACACCCUCUAGAAAGAGAAGAAGAAAGAGAAGAAGAAGAAG
rnacentral:lncRNA from 1 species